rnacentral:rRNA from 1 species
AAUCCAUAGGUUAAUGAGGCGAACCGGGGGAACUGAAACAUCUAAGUACCCCGAGGAAAAGAAAUCAACCGAGAUUCCCCCAGUAGCGGCGAGCGAACGGGGAGGAGCCCAGAGCCUGAAUCAGCAUGUGUGUUAGUGGAAGCGUCUGGAAAGGCGCGCGAUACAGGGUGACAGCCCCGUACACAAAAGCGCAUGUGCUGUGAGCUCGAUGAGUAGGGCGGGACACGUGGUAUCCUGUCUGAAUAUGGGGGGACCAUCCUCCAAGGCUAAAUACUCCUGACUGACCGAUAGUGAACCAGUACCGUGAGGGAAAGGCGAAAAGAACCCCGGCGAGGGGAGUGAAAAAGAACCUGAAACCGUGUACGUACAAGCAGUGGGAGCACAGGUUUACCUGUGUGACUGCGUACCUUUUGUAUAAUGGGUCAGCGACUUAUAUUCUGUAGCAAGGUUAACCGUAUAGGGGAGCCGUAGGGAAACCGAGUCUUAACCGGGCGUUAAGUUGCAGGGUAUAGACCCGAAACCCGGUGAUCUAGCCAUGGGCAGGUUGAAGGUUGGGUAACACUAACUGGAGGACCGAACCGACUAAUGUUGAAAAAUUAGCGGAUGACCUGUGGCUGGGGGUGAAAGGCCAAUCAAACCGGGAGAUAGCUGGUUCUCCCCGAAAGCUAUUUAGGUAGCGCCUCGUGAAUUCAUCUCCGGGGGUAGAGCACUGUUUCGGCUAGGGGGCCAUCCCGGCUUACCAACCCGAUGCAAACUGCGAAUACCGGAGAAUGUUAUCACGGGAGACACACGGCGGGUGCUAACGUCCGUCGUGAAGAGGGAAACAACCCAGACCGCCAGCUAAGGUCCCAAAGUCAUGGUUAAGUGGGAAACGAUGUGGGAAGGCCCAGACAGCCAGGAUGUUGGCUUAGAAGCAGCCAUCAUUUAAAGAAAGCGUAAUAGCUCACUGGUCGAGUCGGCCUGCGCGGAAGAUGUAACGGGGCUAAACCAUGCACCGAAGCUGCGGCAGCGACGCUGAUGCGUUGUUGGGUAGGGGAGCGUUCUGUAAGCCUGUGAAGGUGGCCUGUGAGGGUUGCUGGAGGUAUCAGAAGUGCGAAUGCUGACAUAAGUAACGAUAAAGCGGGUGAAAAGCCCGCUCGCCGGAAGACCAAGGGUUCCUGUCCAACGUUAAUCGGGGCAGGGUGAGUCGACCCCUAAGGCGAGGCCGAAAGGCGUAGUCGAUGGGAAACGGGUUAAUAUUCCCGUACUUGGUGUUACUGCGAAGGGGGGACGGAGAAGGCUAUGUUGGCCGGGCGACGGUUGUCCCGGUUUAAGCGUGUAGGUGUGUGUUCCAGGUAAAUCCGGUUCACUUUAACACUGAGGCGUGAUGACGAGGCACUACGGUGCUGAAGCAACAAAUGCCCUGCUUCCAGGAAAAGCCUCUAAGCAUCAGGUAACAUCAAAUCGUACCCCAAACCGACACAGGUGGUCAGGUAGAGAAUACCAAGGCGCUUGAGAGAACUCGGGUGAAGGAACUAGGCAAAAUGGUGCCGUAACUUCGGGAGAAGGCACGCUGACACGUAGGUGAAGUGAUUUACUCAUGGAGCUGAAGUCAGUCGAAGAUACCAGCUGGCUGCAACUGUUUAUUAAAAACACAGCACUGUGCAAACACGAAAGUGGACGUAUACGGUGUGACGCCUGCCCGGUGCCGGAAGGUUAAUUGAUGGGGUCAGCGCAAGCGAAGCUCCUGAUCGAAGCCCCGGUAAACGGCGGCCGUAACUAUAACGGUCCUAAGGUAGCGAAAUUCCUUGUCGGGUAAGUUCCGACCUGCACGAAUGGCGUAAUGAUGGCCAGGCUGUCUCCACCCGAGACUCAGUGAAAUUGAACUCGCUGUGAAGAUGCAGUGUACCCGCGGCAAGACGGAAAGACCCCGUGAACCUUUACUAUAGCUUGACACUGAACAUUGAGCCUUGAUGUGUAGGAUAGGUGGGAGGCUUUGAAGCGUGGACGCCAGUCUGCAUGGAGCCGGCCUUGAAAUACCACCCUUUAAUGUUUGAUGUUCUAACGUGGACCCGUGAUCCGGGUUGCGGACAGUGUCUGGUGGGUAGUUUGACUGGGGCGGUCUCCUCCUAAAGAG